CUGACGUGGACAUCCAGAGGGUUCUUCUCUCUGGCUCUGUCCUGGUGGCGUACGGGAGCGUAGCUCUGGGCUCAGACGUACAAUCCCCUUCCACGACGUCGGAGAACAAGCUCCGUCCCCGGCCGUAGAGGCUGGUGAGGACGGGCGUCCUGCAUAUUCCUACACCUUCCCAGAGUCCUUUGGGGCAGUGACUGGGGAGUCAAACCAUGCAGUGCACAAGG
ensembl:snoRNA SNORA73 Small nucleolar RNA SNORA73 family